rnacentral:rRNA from 1 species
GAUGAACGCUGGCGGCGUGCCUAAUACAUGCAAGUCGAGCGAACGGACGAGAAGCUUGCUUCUCUGAUGUUAGCGGCGGACGGGUGAGUAACACGUGGAUAACCUACCUAUAAGACUGGGAUAACUUCGGGAAACCGGAGCUAAUACCGGAUAAUAUUUUGAACCGCAUGGUUCAAAAGUGAAAGACGGUCUUGCUGUCACUUAUAGAUGGAUCCGCGCUGCAUUAGCUAGUUGGUAAGGUAACGGCUUACCAAGGCAACGAUGCAUAGCCGACCUGAGAGGGUGAUCGGCCACACUGGAACUGAGACACGGUCCAGACUCCUACGGGAGGCAGCAGUAGGGAAUCUUCCGCAAUGGGCGAAAGCCUGACGGAGCAACGCCGCGUGAGUGAUGAAGGUCUUCGGAUCGUAAAACUCUAUUAUGAGGGAAGAACAUAUGUGUAAGUAACUGUGCACAUCUUGACGGUACCUAAUCAGAAAGCCACGGCUAACUACGUG